rnacentral:rRNA from 1 species
CCGAAAGGGUGACGAAGCGACGCCGCGUGGGUGAGGAAGGCCUUCGGGUUGUAAAGCCCUGUCAGGAGUUAAGAAAUGUAAGUGCGCUAAUAUCGCAUUUAUUUGACGAAGGCUCCAAAGGAGGUCACGGCUAACUCUGUGCCAGCAGCCGCGGUAAUACAGAGGUGGCAAGCGUUGUUCGGAAUUAUUGGGCGUAAAGAGCACGUAGGUGGGUUUGUAAGUCAGAUGUGAAAGCCUUCUGUUCAACGGAAGAAUUGCAUCUGAAACUGCGAGUCUUGAGUGUAGGAGGGGAGAAUGGAACUUCUGGUGGAGCGGUGAAAUGCGUAGAUAUCAGAAGGAACGCCAGCGGCGAAAGCGAUUCUCUGGCCUAUUACUGACACUCAGUGUGCGAA